rnacentral:tRNA from 1 species
CAGGAUAUAAUUUAAUGAGAAUGUUGGCUUUGGGGGCCAGUAGUAGAGGUUUAACUCCUUUUGUUCUGA